rnacentral:misc_RNA from 1 species
UCUCCGUAGGUGAACCAGCGGAAGGAUCAUUACUGUGUAACAGAAGUCCGAGGGCUUUCGCUGACCCGAAAGGUGGUGCACGGCCGAGUGCCCCCACACACAUCCAUCUCACCCCUAUGUGCACCACCGCGUGGUUCCCCCUUUGCCUUGUUCGUAGGGGGGCUUACGUUUUUACACAAACUUUGUAUGCAGUGUAGAAUAUAUUUUUUGUUUUUGCGAUCUCGCAAUCAAACCAACUUUAAACAACGGAUCUCUGUCCUCUCUCAUCGCUGAAGAACC